GCCGCGGCGAUAGAUCAGUGGGUAAAGCGCCAGUGAGGCGAUUACUCCGAGAGCUAUUGUCCGCGCGGGUUCGAAUCCCGCCUGUGGCA